rnacentral:rRNA from 1 species
GCGAGGGUGCUGACGAGUGGCGAACGGGUGAGUAACGCGUGGAUACCUGCCUUGAGAUGGGGGACAACAGUUGGAAACGACUGCUAAUACCGCAUAAGUCCGAGGGGAGAAAGUCGCAAGACGUCUUGAGAGGGGUCCGCGUCGGAUUAGCUAGUUGGUGGGGUAAAGGCCUACCAAGGCGACGAUCCGUAGCUGGUCUGAGAGGAUGAUCAGCCACACUGGGACUGAGACACGGCCCAGACUCCUACGGGAGGCAGCAGUGGGGAAUAUUGCGCAAUGGGGGAAACCCUGACGCAGCAAUGCCGCGUGGGUGAAGAAGGCCUUCGGGUUGUAAAGCCCUUUCAGUGGGGACGAUGAUGACGGUACCCACAGAAGAAGCUCCGGCCAACUCCGUGCCAGCAGCCGCGGUAAUACGGAGGGGGCGAGCGUUGU